AGGGAUUGCUUGAUCAUUGGCUGAGAAGGUCCUAGCAACAACACAGCGAUAUCUGCACUGGUUGUAAGUCUUUACUAACAGCUGUUGCCUCUGUUCUCUGGAGCCUCCUUAAGCCAAGGCUCAGACUCAAGCCUGAACUCUGAGCCCACGAUCCUGGUUUGUCCCUGAAGUAUGAGGCUGGUGACUGGAGUAACAGUGUUUCUGACCUUGGGAACUGUGAUUGAUGCUAAGACCACCCAGCCCAGCUCCAUGGAUUAUACUGAAGGAGAGGAUGUAACCCUGCCUUGUAACCACUCUACCAUUGGUAGAAAUGAGUAUAUACAUUGGUAUCAACAAAAUCCCAAUCAGAGUCCACAGUAUGUCAUUCAUGGCUUACGAGGCACAGUGAACAGCAGCACGGUCUCUCUGACCAUAGCUUCAGACAGAAAGUCCAGCACCUUGGUCCUGCCCCAGGUCACCCUGAGAGACGCCGCUGUGUACUACUGCGUCCUGAGAGAGGCACACUGGGACAGACGGGGCUGCACCUGUGCAGUAUCUCUCUUGUGGGAAGAAGGGGGGACACAGUGGGGGAGCAGUCACUAGAGCAAAUCUAGAGUUAUCUAGAAGGAGAGUCAGAGAGCAGUAAGAAAUGAGGAAAAUGAAGGGAAGGAGAAGGUAAGAAGAAGGGUAAAGAAAAGAAGAAAAGGACAAGGAAGAAGUGCAUCAUUCGUUGAUGUGGCUGAGAAGAAUUUUGGGAAUUAUGGGAAUACUAAGAAUCCCAAUUGCAACAUAGAAAUAAAGUGAGAAGCAUUAGCAAUUUUUCAUGGUUCUUUCUCAUGUCAAUAAAAUGUUGGUUCCAGUGUGUUAGUCUCAACCUAAAAGUGAGAAGAAUACAAAUAAUUCUCCUGUUCCAAAGUUUUCUUUCAUGUCUGACUCUUUGAGACCUCAAGAACUGUAGCCUGCCAGGCUCCUCUGUCCUUGGGAUUUUCCAGGGAAGACUACUGGAGUGGGUUGCCAUUUCCUUUUCCAGAUCUUCCAGAUCCAGGGAUCAAAUCUGUUCUCCUUUGUCUCCUGCAUUGUAGGAGGAUUGUUUACCACUGUGCCACCUGGGAAGUGCUCCAAUUCAUUCUUUAUAACACCUGUGUAGUACUCUGAAACGUUCUAUUAUUAAUUAUGUUUACCUUAAUAAGUAUUUGUUUCUAUUACUGUGCUAUCCUUAAGAGUGUUGUCUUUAUACAACUUUGUAGAUUUACUUUUGUAUAUAUGAGGACAUGUCUAUUGUAAUGAAAUUUCUGAACUGGAAUGGCUAUUUUCAAAACAAGGUGCAUUUAAUUUUUUUUUUUUUUAUAAAGUGACAACUUUCCAUUCAAAUGGUAUAAACAAUUAUACUUCAACCAACAGGGAGUGAGAAGGUGUACUUCGCAUCCUCUAAAAAUUGAGAAUUACCAGCCUUUUUCAUUUUAACAAUCCAAAUGUACUUUAUCUAUAGACAUCUUACUGAUCCUAGUGCUUUCGAGCAAUGUUUUCUCUGUAUAUUGGCACUCUGUCAUCAACCUUGUUCAUAUGCUUGUUCCUAUCUUUUGACCAUUUUUUCCAUUAACUUAGCUUUAUUUCUGUUUGCUAG